rnacentral:rRNA from 1 species
AACGAACGCUGGCGGCAUGCCUAACACAUGCAAGUCGAACGAGACCUUCGGGUCUAGUGGCGCACGGGUGCGUAACGCGUGGGAAUCUGCCCUUGGGUUCGGAAUAACAGUUGGAAACGACUGCUAAUACCGGAUGAUGACGUAAGUCCAAAGAUUUAUCGCCCAAGGAUGAGCCCGCGUAGGAUUAGCUAGUUGGUGAGGUAAAGGCUCACCAAGGCGACGAUCCUUAGCUGGUCUGAGAGGAUGAUCAGCCACACUGGGACUGAGACACGGCCCAGACUCCUACGGGAGGCAGCAGUGGGGAAUAUUGGACAAUGGGCGAAAGCCUGAUCCAGCAAUGCCGCGUGAGUGAUGAAGGCCUUAGGGUUGUAAGGCUCUUUUACCCGGGAUGAUAAUGACAGUACCGGGAGAAUAAGCUCCGGCUAACUCCGUG